UCAAGCUAAUAAGAGCACAGGGUGGAUGCCCAGGCACCAAACGCCGACGAAAGACGUGGCAAGCUGCGAAAAGUCACGGGGAACCGCAAGCAGGUAUUGAUCCGUGAACGUCUGAAUGGGGAAACCCGGCGGGUUAACAGCCCGUCACUAUUAACUGAAUCAAUAGGUUAAUAGGGGGAACGCGGGGAACUGAAACAUCUCAGUACCCGUAGGAAGAGAAAAUAAAGAAUGAUUUCCUAAGUAGCGGCGAGCGAACGGGAAAGAGGCCAAACCGAAGGGCUUGCUCUUCGGGGUUGUGGAUCAGCAAAAAGGACGGAAGACCUUAGCAGAAGAGGAUUGGAAAGUCCCGCCAGAGAGGGUAAAAGCCCCUUACGCGAAAAGGUCAAACGACGAGCUGACACCAGAGUACCGCAGGACACGAGAAAUCCGGUGGGAAGCCGGGAGGACCACCUCCCAAGCCUAAAUACGAAUUGGUGACCGAUAGCGCAUAGUACCGUGAGGGAAAGGUGAAAAGAACCCCGGGAGGGGAGUGAAAAAGAACCUGAAACCCUGUGUUUACAAGCAGUGAAAGUGCGAGCAAGGCACGAUCACGUACUUUUUGUAGAACGGACCGGCGAGUUACGUUAUGCAGCAAGGUUAAGAACUGAAGGUUCGGAGCCGAAGCGAAAGCGAGUCUGAAUAGGGCGAUAGUUGCAUGACGUAGACCCGAAACCGGGUGACCUAUCCAUGAGCAGGUUGAAGUGGAGGUAAAGCUCCAUGGAGGACCGAACCAGACGUCUGUUGAAAAAGGCGGGGAUGACUUGUGGAUAGGGGAGAAAUUCCAAUCGAACCCGGAGAUAGCUGGUUCUCCUCGAAAUAGCUUUAGGGCUAGCCUCAUGGAUCAUUGGUGGGGGUAGAGCACUGAAUGUGCGCGGGGGCCACAAAGCCUACCAAACGCUAUCAAACUACGAAUACCAUACAAUGCAGACCAUGGGAGUCAGUCCGCGAGAGAUAAGUUCCGCGGGCAAAAGGGGAACACCCCAGAUCAACCGCUAAGGUCCCCAAGUUCACGUUAAGUGGAGAAGGAUGUGGAAUUGCACAGACAACCAGGAUGUUGGCUCAGAAGCAGCCACACAUUUAAAGAGUGCGUAAUAGCUCACUGGUCGAGUGAUUGUGCGCCGAAGAUGUCCGGGGCUAAACGUGACACCGAAGCGAUGGGUGCAUCUGAAGAAGAUGCGCGGUAGAGGAGCAAUGUGCAGAGGCGGAAGCCGUAUCGAGAGGCACGGUGGACACUGCACAAGAGAGAAUGCCGGUAUGAGUAGCGAGAGGCAUGCGAGAAACAUGCCCGUCGAAAGCCCAAGGUUUCCUGGGGAAGGUUCAUCCGCCCAGGGUAAGUCGGGGCCUAAGCCGAGGACGGAAGUCGUAGGCGAUGGACAGCAGGUGUAGAUUCCUGCACUACCGAUGGAAUGAAGCAGUGACACAGAAGGAUAACUCGAGCAGGGUGAUGGUCAACCCUGUGCAAGCAUCAAGGUUGGGUUGUAGUGAAGUACGCAAUCCUACAAGCUGAGGUGUGAUGCGGACCGAAAUUUCAGUAGGGAAGCGAGUGAGUUCACGCUGGCGAGAAAAGCUGCUAGUAUAUCCAAAGGUACCCGUACCGGAAACCGACGCAGGUGGGCGAGGAGAGAAUCCUGAGACGAACGGGAGAACCCUUGUUAAGGAACUCGGCAAAAUGACCCCGUAACUUCGGGAUAAGGGGUGCCUGCGAGAGCAGGCCGCAGAGAAUAGUCACAAGCGACUGUUUAGCAAAAACACAGGUAUCUGCGAAAGCGAGAGCUGACGUAUAGGUGCUGACACCUGCCCGGUGCUGGAAGGUUAAGGGAACAUGUUAGAGCAAUCGAAGCAUCGAACCGAAGCCCCAGUAAACGGCGGCCGUAACUAUAACGGUCCUAAGGUAGCGAAAUUCCUUGUCGGGUAAGUUCCGACCCG
rnacentral:rRNA from 1 species